rnacentral:rRNA from 1 species
AGCAGCCGCGGUAAUUCCAGCUCCAAUAGCGUAUAUUAAAGUUGUUGCAGUUAAAAAGCUCGUAGUUGAAUUUCGGGGUUAAUAAGUUGGUCAUACCUAUGGUAUGUACUGGCUUCAUUGAUUCCUACCUCUUGACGAACUGUGAUGCCAUUAAUUUGGUGUUGCAAGGAAUCAGGACUGUUACCUUGAAAAAAUUGAGUGUUUAAAGCAGGCUUACGCUUGAAUACAUUAGCAUGGAAUAAUGAAAUAGGACGUUUGAACCUAUUUUGUUGGUUUCUAGGAUCGACGUAAUGAUUAAUAGGGAUAGUUGGGGGCAUUAGUAUUCAAUUGUCAGAGGUGAAAUUCUUGGAUUUAUUGAAGACUAACUACUGCGAAAGCAUUUGCCAAGGAUGUUUUCAUUAAUCAAGAACGAAAGUUAGGGAUCGAAGACGAUCAGAUACCGUCGUAGUCUUAACCAUAAACUAUGCCGACUAGGGAUCGGAUGAUGUUAAUUUUUAUGUACUUCAUUCGGCGCCUUACG